AGCGAACGCUGGCGGCAGGCCUAACACAUGCAAGUCGAACGAACCUUUCGGGGUUAGUGGCGGACGUGUGGGUACCACGUGGGAACGUACCUUUAGGUUCGGAAUAACUCAGGGAAACUUGUGCUAAUACCGAAUGUGCUCUUCGGGGGAAGGAUUAAUCGCCUUUAGAGCGGCCCGCGUCUGAUUAGCUAGUUGGUUGAGGUAAUGGCUCACCAUGGCGACGAUCAGGAGCUGGUCGGAGAGGAGGAUAAGACGCGUCGGGACUGCGACACGGUCCACACUGCUACGCGACGCAGCAGUGGGGAACAUUGCGCGAUGGGCGAAAGCCUGACGCAGCCACGCCGCGUGAAUGAUGAAGGUGUUAGGAUUGUAAAAUUCUUUCAGCCGGGACGAUAAUGACGGUACCCGGAGAAGAAGCCCCGGCUAACUUCGUG
rnacentral:rRNA from 1 species